AAAAUGCAUGCCGUGGGAGAGUUCGGGUCUUAGGAGGUUAAUGCCCAGACAAAAGAGAGAAUAUUUUUCUGACUCAUUUCCCAAAGUGAUCUAAGACUAACCAAACCUGUUUGAACAAGCAGCUGUCCACAAAAGAGUAAGGCGUGCUGCAAUAACUACGAACAAUUCCAAGCAUAAUUGGCAUCAUUUGGUGAGUGCUUCAGAAAAAAUGGAGAAGCUGAGAGUAAGCCUAACUGAGAUACAUUUCUCCCUUCUGGCUGUGCAACAGUAUGCAAUUAGAGAACUAGUUUUAGUUAGUAGUAAAGUUUAUUACAGUUUACCAACAGCUGUAAAAAGUUGUUUCACUUGUGAAAAUUCUCCUGUACCUUUAAACCUUAACUGUGCUUCUACCAACUGAAUCCAGCUACAAUUGUGUCUGCUUUUUGAGCACCUAAACAUCAAUUAGCACCUGAUAUAACUGUUGUAGCUGAGAAGAAAAUCCCAUAUGUAGAGAGAGUGCUCAUCUGUGGAUGAGCAUCAGUCAAAGUAAACAGAACAUAAUAUGUUUGGAGUAAUUGAACCAUCUGGGUAAAGGGCUACCACCGUCAUUAGAGACCCUGUUGCCCGAUGUUACCGUGCAUUUGACCUGAGCGAGAACCCGCUCGCAUACUCAUCCUUUAACUAAGCAAACCACUCAAGAGAGGACAGUUUUCACACCAGACUGCACUCAGCACACUAACAGCUGGUUGCCACAUCACCAUAGACAGCUUGUGAAGAAGGGAUUGAGCAGAGCAGAGAGAGAGAGUGAGAAAUUAGCAACAGGUUCUUAUUUGGUGCCAAUAAAGUGCAAAGAAACUUUUCUAUUAUUUACUUAAUUUCAAUGUGGUUAUAUAAGAGCUGAGAGUUCAUUUUUAGGAGAAGAGAGCAAAUCUCUCUUAGUAAUUCAAUUCACCAUAAUGACAACAGUUUUUGCUGGAAUGCAGAAAAAAUUAGACUAUGGACUUUCGCUGUGAGGUCAGUUUGUAUUUUUACAUAAGCAGUCAUCGUUUAGAAACAAGGAGUCAAUAAGACCAGCUGAAAAACAAGUUAGAAAUUAACCAGGUGCAUCACAGAGAGACAAAACGUAGCCUUCUGACAGACUUUGAUAAGGGCGUGUAGAGGAGUUAACCAAAUGUAAACAAAGACUUUUAUUUGGCAACAGUAGUUUGUGCGUAGACAUUAGAACACUAGUUAACCUGCUGAUCUUCAAUUCAAGCCAAAUCCCAAGAUAUGGCAGCAGACUUUUUGCAAGCGGUUGGUGGGUGUUAGCGGUACUGCACUGCAGUGGUUCAGAUCUUAUUUGGCAGAGGAAACUUUCUCUGUGAAACUUGGUG